rnacentral:rRNA from 1 species
GCUUAGCCCUAAACCUAAAUAGCUUACAACAAUGCUAUUCGCCAGAGUACUACUAGCAACAGCUUAAAACUCAAAGGACUUGGCGGUGCUUUAUAUCCAUCUAGAGGAGCCUGUUCUAUAAUCGAUAAACCCCGAUAAACCUCACCAACCCUUGCUAAUACAGCCUAUAUACCGCCAUCUUCAGCAAACCCUCAAAAGGGACCAUAGUAAGCAAAAUUAUGGAACAUAAAAACGUUAGGUCAAGGUGUAGCCUAUGAGUUGGGAAGAAAUGGGCUACAUUUUCUAACAUAGAAUAUAAACGAAAAUUUUCGUGAAACCGAAAAUAGAAGGAGGAUUUAGUAGUAAAUUAAGAAUAGAGAGCUUAAUUGAAUAAGGCCAUGAAGCAC